rnacentral:lncRNA from 1 species
ACCGGAAGUAUUACAGAUGGAAUAGCACGUGCCUUAAAUGAUGUCUGUAUGAUAUAAUGAAUGACAUUCAAGCAAAGAAUGACGUUUUAGAUUAUUUAUCAUUGACAUGUUUCUUUCUAAUGUGUAUAUUGUUAAAUAAGGACAGAACUGUUAUGUCUAAAAUGAACUGUUUUUGCAUUUCUGAUGACCUUUCGCAGUUAUUCAUUUUAGAUAUAAAUUGUGUGUAUUAUUGCUAUAUCAUUGAAAUCUCAUUGUAUGUAUAUAUAUAUAAUUCUGCUCAUUCAUCU